CACGUGGUUUAUUAGGGUUAGAUAAAUACCGCCUCGUGCUACAACUACCUUCUUUUCCUUUCGAGAUACAUUGAGUAACGUAGCAUUAGUUAGAAGAUAUAAAAAUAUUUAAUUAGAAAUAAAUUAUCUAAUUGCUAUAUUAGCAAUCUUACAGGUAACAAAACAAACGUAUAUCUGAUAUAAUGGCACUUUACGCAUUUAGACAAAAAGGAAGCGAUGUAGGAAACGACUGGUUGCCUUUCCGAUCAUUUAAAUAACCAACGUUACAUAAAACGGACCAAAAGAUUUGUGCAGCCUUCAGAGAUAAAGAUGCAAAUAACGAUGUGACGCACAUACCCGUCUUUCCGCUGUGAAACUUAAAGGGUGUUUUUUAAAGGUAUGUUGCAUCUUACUGUAUGUGUGCUCUUUCACUUGCGAGAAACAUUGUUUUAAAAACGUUUUGCAUCAAUAUUUGCCACACAGGUUUAUCUUGGGUUUGGAGAAAUUGUAUGACCCAUCACUUACCAAGAAAAUAUCACAUUGAAGGCAACUUGCAUAUUUUAAACACAAAGUUAAGGAUGUUGUGAAUGGCAGAUUUCCUUAUUUAAAGAUGCUUUUCAUGAACGUGACCAUAAAGACUUUUUUAAACCCAUCACAUAUGUCUUGUUAAGUGUGGCUGGGUGUGGAAACGCCAGGUACAUCGUAGUUUAACUACACCCAGAUAGUGUGCAGUAGGUUAUAGUUAAUACAGUGUUUAUCUCUCACAGCUGUAUCUGCUGCUCAACCCAGAAAUGAUGAUUUCUGCAGUCCGUGUUUCACCUGAAACUGAUGAUUACAAUCUUACUGCACUGAUCGGGUUGAGUUGCGGAUCAAAGCCGUGAAUGUUGUAGUUUUGCUCAAUUCUGUUUAAUGUGUGUGUGCUGGUAUUGUAGUUUAAAUUUCAUGGGUCUUUAAUGUUACAUGCGAUGUUGAUUAGUUGUGUGCUAGUCUCAGUUUUACCUUAUGCUCUGAUAACUGUACUUUUUUUUGUAAUAUUUUAACAUGUUUACUAAAUCUGUUACAGGUGUUUAUACUACGAAGCAUGGAGGUGUGUUUAAAAAGGUAUUUACCUCCCAUGUGACCAGUGAAUGUAAACAACACCCAUUUAGGGCUUUCUGCUGUUUAUUUGGUUAAUUUGUGAGUUCAUUUGGUUCCUCUUCAUUUUUUGUUUCAGUGUUCCAGACAAACAUAACUGGGUAACAUUUAACAAUAAGGUUGUGUUUGUUAAAGGGAUAGUUCACCCAAAAAUGAGAAUUUUCCUGAUCCGAUAUUCUGGAUCGGUAUCUGGUCCGAUCCGGGCUUUUUAGCUGGAUCGAACAUCGGGUCGAGGACCGACAACAUGACAGAUCCAAUUCCGAUAUGUGUGUUAGCGUGGUUGUUACUGACAAGCUAUUAACUCUUUCCCCGCCAUUGACGAGAUAUCUCGUCAAUUUAGAGAAAAUGCUUCCCCGCCAAUGACGAGUAUUUCCGUCUUUCCGCAAUACCGCUAUUAUCCACUAGGUGGCUACCCUACCCAUAUUCAAAAACUGAUUACAAAAGAACCACUGAAGGUAGGAUAAAACGUUUUUUUUUUUUUUAAAGCAGAGGGUCUGUUCUUUCAUUUGGUAUAUUGUAUGUUUAUAUAUUUGAAGAAGAACAUUUUCUGGAAGGCAUUAAACUUUGGUGAAAAUCAUGAAAAACGCUGGCGCUGGCUGGCAACUUUUUUUAAAAACGCUGGCGGUGAAAGCGUUAAAAGGACGAAGUAUUAUAAAAGCACCAUAAACGUUUUAUGCACUAUAUUCAAAGUCUUUUUAUACACUCAAUAGCUUCAUGUGAAGGAACAAACCACAUUAAAAGAUAUUUAGGAUAACAGAAACACUGUAACUUACUCGCAAACUGAGUUAAUCCACUGGUGAAGCGGACACAAGAUAACUGAAGGUUAUUUUAAAGAUCUGAUUUUAUAAGCCGUUGGAUGGAUGCAAUUCACUUUGUGCUGAUUACACAAUGCAUCUAUUAUCUUUGUGUUUUAACAGUUAUGCACUUUCCAUAGAGGUGCAAGGAUUCCCAUGUGAGGAUAAUUUCGGUGCAUCAAUUCUGCACCCGGAAUGUGCAUAAAACUCCAUUCUAGCGCAUAAUUCCCAAAAUAACAAUCUUCACACUAAAGCUUUUUUACUACAACAGUUUAACGCAAUUAAGAAAAGAAAUUUAACAUACUUAACUGAUCAAACAUACCUAUUAUAUGUUCUCCUAAACACUGUCAUGAUUAAUAAUUUUGAAUGUUACAGGAAACAUAAUGAUACUAUAUGUAGCAAAAAGCACUAUACAUAUUUAAUUACAUUUCCGUUUACUCACUCUCAUGUUGUUACAAACCUGUAUAAAUUUCCUUUGUGGUCAUAAGAACAAAAAAAUUUUGUAACUAAACCAAUCAUGAGCCCCAUUCACUUCUAUAGUAGGAAAAAAAUACUAUGGAAGUGAAUGGGUCUCAUGAUCGGUUUGGUUUUAAACUUUACUCAAAAUAUCUUCCUUUGUGGUCAUCAAAAAAAAUUAAGUGUAAUGUUGACAAUUUUCAUUUUUGUGUGAACUGUCCCUUUAACAUUAGUUAAUGCAUUAUCUAACAAAAACUAGCAAUGAGCUAUUUCUACAGUGUUUAUUAGUCUUUUAUGAAUGUUUGUUUCAGUAUAGGCUUAUAAACUCAAAGUUGUAAUUGUUAUAAUGCACGAUGAACUUACAUGCAUAAUUGUGUUGGCAUUAUUAACUAAAAUUAAUAAAUAGUGCUGAUAAACUAUAUUGCU